rnacentral:rRNA from 1 species
UACGUAGGGUGCGAGCGUUGUCCGGAAUUAUUGGGCGUAAAGGGCUCGUAGGCGGUUUGUCACGUCGGGAGUGAAAACUCGGGGCUUAACCCCGAGCCUGCUUCCGAUACGGGCAGACUAGAGGUAUGCAGGGGAGAACGGUAUUCCUGGUGUAGCGGUGAAAUGCGCAGAUAUCAGGAGGAACACCGGUGGCGAAGGCGGUUCUCUGGGCAUUACCGGACGCUGAGGAGCGAAAGUGUGGGGAGCGAACAGG